rnacentral:sRNA from 1 species
AUUACAAGAACGCUGAAUUCCCGGCGCACGGGAAACGGGGGAACCACCAGGCGAAAGCCUACUUGGGGUGAAUCCUUAGGAGACUACAGAAAUGCGGUCUCACAGGGUAGGGCGACUCUCACCGUCCGAAUCCGACAGCUAACCUCGCAAGCGUAUAGAGAGAGAUCCU